UCUCUACCGAAAAUACAAAAUUAGCUGGGCGCGGUGGCGCAUGCCUGUAAUCCCAGCUACUUGGGAGGCUGAGGCAGGAGAAUCGCUUGAACCCAGGAGGUGGAGGUUGUGGUGAGCUGAGAUUGCGCCAUUGCACUCCAAUUGGGCAACAAGAGCGACACUCCAUCUCAAAAAAGAAAAAAAAAAGAAAGAAAAAGAAAAAGAAAUAUGGAACAUAAAAGUUACCAUUUUAAUCGUUUAAAAGUGUACAGGCCAGGCGCAGUGGCUCACACCUGUGAUCCCAGCACUUUGGGAGGCCGAGGCAGGCAGAUCACCUGAGGUCAGGGGAUCAAGACCAUUCCGGCCAACAUGGUGAAACCCCGUCUCUACUAAAAAUACAAAAAUUAACCAGGUACACAGGCACACGCCUGUAGUCCCAGCUACUCGGGAGGCUGAGGCAGGAGAAUCGCUUGAACCCAGGGGCCAGAGGUUGCAGUGAGCCGAGAUCACACCACUGCACUCCAGCCUGGCAACAGAGCAAGACUCUGUCUCAAAAAAAAGUGUACAAUUGGCUGGGUGCGGUGGCUCACGCCUGUAAUCCCAGCACUUUAGGAGGCCAAGGAGGGUGGAUCACCUGAGGUCAGGAGUUCAAGACCAGCCUGGCCAACGUAUCGAAAUUCUGUUUGUAUUAAAAAUACAAAAAUCAGCUGGGUGUGGUGGCACACACCUAUAAUCCCAGCUACUUGAGAAGCUGAGGCAAGAGAAUCGCUUGAACCCAGGAGGCAGAUGCUGCAGUGAGCUGAGAUUGCACCACUGCACUCCAGCCUGGAUGACAGAGCCAGGAUGGUCUUGUUCUCCUGACCUCGUGAUCUGCCAGCCUCAGCCUCCCAAAGUGCUGGGAUUACAGGUGUGAGCCACUGCUCCCAGCAGUUUUUUUUUUUGUUUUUUUUUUUUUGAGACAGGGUCUUGCUCUGUCAUCCAGGCUGGAGUGCAGUGGCUCAAUCACAGCUGACUGCAACCUCAAUCUCCCCAGGUUCAAGUGAUCCUCCCACCUCACCCUUCUGAGUAGCUGGGUUACUACAAGCGUGUGCCACCAGGACAGGCUAAUUUUUUGUAUCUUUUGUUGUGGGAUUUUGCCAUGUUGCCCAGGCUGGUUUUGGACUCCUGGGCUCAAGCGAUCUGCCUGCCUAAGGCUCCCAAAGUGUUGGGAUUACAGGUGUGAGCCAUCAUGCCCUCACUGUCACUAUUUUCCUUUUUUUUUUUUUUUAUUUUUUGUGGCCAUCCUACUGGAUGUGAAGUGAUAUCUCACUGUUAUUUUGAUUUGCACUUCCCUAAUGAUCCCCUGAUGAUGUUGAGUAUCUUUUUCAUCUCCCGGUUGGCCAUGUGUAUAUCUGCUUGGGAGAAAAUAAAGUCCUUUGCUCAUUUUUAAAUUGGGUUCUUUUUGUUGUUGAUUUGUAGGCGUUCUUUACAUAUUGUGGAUACUAGAUCCUUAUCAGACAUAAUUUUGUGGGGUUUGGGGUUUUUUUGUUUGUUUUUGAGAUAGGGUCUCACUGUGUCACCCAGACUAGAGUGCAGUGGCUCAAUCACAGCUCACUGCAGUCUCAAACCUCAAACUCCUAUCAAGAGAUCCUUUCUCCUCAGCCUCCUGAGUAGCUGGGACCACAGGCAGGCCACCACCAUGCUCAGCUAAUAAAAAAAAAAUUGGGGCCAGGCAUGCUGGCUCACACAUGUAAUCCCAGCACCUUGGGAGGCUGAGGCGGGCAGAUCACGAGGUCAGGAGAUUGAGACCAUCCUGGCUAACACGGUGAAACCCCGUCUCUACUAAAAAAUAUGAAAAGAUUAGCUAGGUGUGGUGGUGGGCACUUGUAGUACCAGCUGCUGGGGAGGCUGAGGCAGGAGAAUGGCAUGAACCCGGGAGGUGGAGCUUGCAGUGAGCUGAGAUCACACCACUGCACUCCAGCCUAGGUGACAGAGCAAGACCCCAUGUCAAAAAAAAAAAAAAAAAAAUUGGCUGGGUGCGGUGGCUCACGUCUGUAAUCCCAGCACUUUGGGAGGCCAAGGCAAGCAAAUCACCUGCGGUUGGGAGUUCAAGAUCAGCCCGAGCAACAUGGAGAAACCCCGCCUCUACUAAAAAUACAAAAUUAGCUAGGUGUGGUGGCGCAUGCCUGUAAUCCCAGCUACUCGGGAGGCUGAGGCAAGACAAUCGCUUGAACCCAGGAGGCGGAGGUUGUGGUGUGAGCCAAGAUCACACCAUUGGACUCCAGCUUGGGCAACAGAGGGAAACUGCGUUUCAAAAAAAAAAAUUUGUAGAGACAAGGUCUUGCCAAGUUGCCCAGGGAACCUGCACUGGGCAGUUCCGGAAGAGCUGCAGCUUUCAACGCUUCGAGAGUGCGUGACUGUCCCUGGUCCCCAUGCCCUGGCCAGUGCUCAGAACUACCCAUCUCCUGAUUUCUGCUCAUCUGAUAGCCACAAACUGGCAUCUAAUUUGUUUUAAUGUGCAUUUGCUGAUGCCCAGUGUCCAUGAGCAUCUCACAGUUUGUCCUGUAAGUGCAAUGCUUCACAGGACAAAGAGAAUUUCUAUCUUUUGCAGGUAUCAGAGUCGCUGAGAAGAGUCAUGCUGUGAUGUGAGGUCACAGAACAAGGUAGGGUGGGAGCCUGGAGCUCAGUAAGCUCUCUGCAAUUUAUGUUUGCCUCCACCCCGACCCCCACCAAGCUUGAGCCUCCUCUCC
rnacentral:lncRNA from 1 species